rnacentral:rRNA from 1 species
AUUGAACGCUGGCGGCAUGCCUUACACAUGCAAGUCGAACGGCAGCACGGGAGCUUGCUCCUGGUGGCGAGUGGCAAACGGGUGAGUAAUACAUCGGAACGUACCCUGAAGUGGGGGAUAACGUAGCGAAAGUUACGCUAAUACCGCAUAUUCUGUGAGCAGGAAAGAGGGGGAUCGCAAGACCUCUUGCUUUAGGAGCGGCCGAUGUCGGAUUGGCUAGUUGGUGAGGUAAAGGCUCACCAAGGCGACGAUCCGUAGCGGGUCUGAGAGGAUGAUCCGCCACACUGGGACUGAGACACGGCCCAGACUCCUACGGGAGGCAGCAGUGGGGAAUUUUGGACAAUGGGCGCAAGCCUGAUCCAGCCAUGCCGCGUGAGUGAAGAAGGCC